AUUGAACGCUGGCGGCAGGCCUAACACAUGCAAGUCGAACGAGUGGCGGACGGGUGAGUAAUGUCUGGGAAACUGCCUGAUGGAGGGGGCUAACUACUGGAAACGGUAGCUAAUACCGCAUACCAUCGGAUGUGCCCAGCUGGGAUUAGCUAGUCGGUGUGGUAACGGCUCACCUAGGCGACGAUCCCUAGCUGGUCUGAGAGGAUGACCAGCCACACUGGAACUGAGACACGGGCCAGACUCCUACGGGAGGCAGCAGUGGGGAAUAUUGCACAAUGGGCGAAAGCCUGAUGCAGCCAUGCCGCGUGUAUGAAGAAGGCAUUCGGGUUGUAAAGUACUUUUAGCGGGGAGGCGUUACCCGCAGAAGAAGCACCGGCUAACUCCGUGCCAGCAGCCGCGGUAAUAC
rnacentral:rRNA from 1 species